rnacentral:rRNA from 1 species
AUUGAACGCUGGCGGCAUGCCUUACACAUGCAAGUCGAACGGUAACAGGUCUUCGGACGCUGACGAGUGGCGAACGGGUGAGUAAUGCAUCGGAACGUGCCCAGUCGUGGGGGAUAACUGCUCGAAAGAGCAGCUAAUACCGCAUACGACCUGAGGGUGAAAGCGGGGGACCGUAAGGCCUCGCGCGAUUGGAGCGGCCGAUGUCAGAUUAGCUAGUUGGUGGGGUAAAGGCCUACCGAGGCAACGAUCUGUAGUUGGUCUGAGAGGACGACCAGCCACACUGGGACUGAGACACGGCCCAGACUCCUACGGGAGGCAGCAGUGGGGAAUUUUGGACAAUGGGCGCAAGCCUGAUCCAGCAAUGCCGCGUGCAGGAAGAAGGCCUUCGGGUUGUAAACUGCUUUUGUCAGGGAAGAGAUAUUCUGGGCUAAUACCCCGGGAGGAUGACGGUACCUGAAGAAUAAGCACCGGCUAACUACGUG